UACGAAGGGGGCUAGCGUUGCUCGGAAUUACUGGGCGUAAAGCGCACGUAGGCGGAUCUUUAAGUCAGGGGUGAAAUCCUGGAGCUCAACUCCAGAACUGCCUUUGAUACUGAGGACCUUGAGUUCGGGAGAGGUGAGUGGAACUGCGAGUGUAGAGGUGAAAUUCGUAGAUAUUCGCAAGAACACCAGUGGCGAAGGCGGCUCACUGGCCCAUUACUGACGCUGAGGCACGAAAGCGUGGGGAGCAAACAGG
rnacentral:rRNA from 1 species